rnacentral:rRNA from 1 species
UACGGAGGGUGCAAACGUUGCUCGGAAUCAUUGGGCGUAAAGCGCACGUAGGCGGCGUGAUAAGUUGGGUGUGAAAGCCCUGGGCUCAACCCAGGAAGUGCAUUCAAAACUGUCACGCUUGAAUCUCGGAGGGGGUCAGAGAAUUCCCGGUGUAGAGGUGAAAUUCGUAGAUAUCGGGAGGAAUACCAGUGGCGAAGGCGCUGACCUGGACGAAGAUUGACGCUGAGGUGCGAAAGCGUGGGGAGCAAACAGG